AGCUGAUUAACUGGACGUUACCCACAGAAGAAGCACCGGCUAACUCCGUGCCAGCAGCCGCGGUAAUACGGAGGGUGCGAGCGUUAAUCGGAAUUACUGGGCGUAAAGGGUGCGUAGGUGGUUGAUUAAGUUAUCUGUGAAAUUCCUGGGCUUAACCUGGGACGGUCAGAUAAUACUGGUUGACUCGAGUAUGGGAGAGGGUAGUGGAAUUUCCGGUGUAGCGGUGAAAUGCGUAGAGAUCGGAAGGAACACCAGUGGCGAAGGCGGCUACCGGCCUAAUACUACAC
rnacentral:rRNA from 1 species